rnacentral:rRNA from 1 species
AAACUAACAAGGAUUCCCCUAGUAACGGCGAGUGAAGCGGGAAGAGCUCAAAUUUGAAAUCUGGUAGCCUUCGGUUGCCGAGUUGUAAUCUAGAGAAGUGUUUUCCGUGCCGGCCCAUGUACAAGUCCCUUGGAACAGGGCGUCAUAGAGGGUGAGAAUCCCGUCCUUGACAUGGACCCCCGGUGCUUUGUGAUACACUUUCAACGAGUCGAGUUGUUUGGGAAUGCAGCUCAAAAUGGGUGGUGAAUUCCAUCUAAAGCUAAAUAUUGGCGAGAGACCGAUAGCGAACAAGUACCGUGAGGGAAAGAUGAAAAGCACUUUGGGAAAGAGAGUUAAACAGUACGUGAAAUUGUUGAAAGGGAAACGAUUGAAGUCAGUCAUGCUCUUGGGACUUACCUCCCUUGAGUGGGGUCAACAUCAGUUUUGAUCGAUGGAUAAAGGCACGGGGAAGGUAGCACUCUCGGGUGAACUUAUAGCCUCGCGUCAUAUACAUUGAUUGGGACUGAGGAACGCAGCAUGCCUUAUGGCGGGGAUUCGUCCACGUACAUGCUUAGGAUGUUGACAUAAUGGCUUUAAACGACCCGUCUUGAAACACG